rnacentral:rRNA from 1 species
UGAGGAAUAUUGGUCAAUGGGCGAGAGCCUGAACCAGCCAAAUCGCGUGAAGGAAGACUGCCUUAUGGGUUGUAAACUUCUUUUAUACAGGAAUAAAAAAGGGGACGUGUCCCUUAUUGCACGUACUGUAUGAAUAAGCAUCGGCUAACUCCGUGCCAGCAGCCGCGGUAAUACGGAGGAUGCGAGCGUUAUCCGGAUUUAUUGGGUUUAAAGGGUGCGCAGGCGGGCUUUUAAGUCAGCGGUGAAAUCUCGGGGCUUAACUCCGAAACUGCCGUUGAAACUGGGAGUCUUGAGUAUGGAUGAAGUAGGCGGAAUUCGUUGUGUAGCGGUGACAUGCUUAGAUAUAACGAGGAACUCCGAUUGCGUAGGCAGCUUACUAAGCCAUAACUGACGCUCAAGCACGAAAGCGUGGGGAUCAAAACAGGAUUAGAUACCCCUGGUAGUCCACGCCGUAAAACGAUGAUUACUAGUUGUAUGCGAUAUACCGUAUGUGACUAAGCGAAAGCGAUAAGUAAUCCACCUGGGGAGUACGCCGGCAACGGUGAAACUUAAAGGAAUUGACGGGGUCAUAGCUGUUCCU